rnacentral:tRNA from 1 species
AUCCGUCGAAUUUUAAAUUCGUGAGGGUUCAAGUCCCUCUAUCCCCA